rnacentral:rRNA from 1 species
AUGAACGCUGGCGGCGUGCCUAAUACAUGCAAGUCGAGCGAACAGACGAGGAGCUUGCUCCUCUGACGUUAGCGGCGGACGGGUGAGUAACACGUGGAUAACCUACCUAUAAGACUGGGAUAACUUCGGGAAACCGGAGCUAAUACCGGAUAAUAUAUUGAACCGCAUGGUUCAAUAGUGAAAGACGGUUUUGCUGUCACUUAUAGAUGGAUCCGCGCCGCAUUAGCUAGUUGGUAAGGUAACGGCUUACCAAGGCAACGAUGCGUAGCCGACCUGAGAGGGGGGGGGCCCACAGGGAAAGUGAGAAACGGCCCAGAUUCAGCGGGGGGGAAGAGGGAGGGACUCUUCCACAAGGGGGAAAGGUUGGACGGAGCAACGCGGAGGGAGGGAGAAGGGUUUUGGUAUCGAAAACCUUUGUUAUAGGGGAAAAAAAAAUUGGAAAGUAACUAUGCACGUCUGGAGGUUACUUAAUAAGAAGACCACGGCAAACUCCGUG